UCCAUUCCUUACCCGCACCGCACGCGGCCCGAAUCAAAGCCUUUCCCCUUCUCCUCUUCUCUGGCCAUCCGCCGCCUCCUUCUCAUCCCAGCGACGACGGCGGCCGAUCUACCUCGACCUCCACCUCCACCUCCACGCAUCCAUGGAGGAGGCAUCCAACCCUAGCCCCAUUGGGUCACCGGCGCUGGAUCCUCCGUUGUGCGGCCGGAAGGAGCAGCUGCUGGCACGGGACGUUGCUCGGCGACGAGGCGUGCCGGCGAAACACGGGCCACCAGGGCAGCAACCACGACGCCCUCCCUCUCUACUCGACCUUGAUGAAGAUACGCUGUACCCGUCAGGGUCCUGACUGAUCGAGUGACAAGUAGGAUUUGGGUGGAUUCAGAUAAAGAACAGCAGCGGCAGGAGAGUUUUCAGUUUUAGUUUCAGACAAGGUGCAGAACUCCAUGACUAGUCAAUGAUCUAGCAGCUGUUCUCCUCCCAGGCGAUGGCAGUGAGUUAACCGUUCCGCAGCCGCAUCUCCUCCAGAUAACUACUCGGGUCUCCUGGCCAUCGUUCUGAGGCCACACUGUGAUCCUACUUUCUAGCGUAUGGUUUGGUUUGUGGGGUUAUCUUCUGCCCAUACAUACCUUUUGUGAUAGCGGUUGCAACAAUAAUGUCUCCUUGUGGUGUUUGCCCAGCCAUUUGAACAGUGCCCUCUUUUUUUCAUGAUUUUUUAUUCCAUGCCUAAGCAGCUCAAUGAGCUCUACAUUACUGGAAGUACUGACAUAGUCCUAACAUGCAAUUCUAAUUUGCCAAGAACCGUUUGAGGACACAUUCUAGAAUGAAUGGCAACUUAAAUAUUUGUCUUACCUUAUUUAUUCCUUCCAUUGGCAUGUAAUUAGUAGGAACAUUAGAUUUUCACUAAGCAUAUCAUCUGAUUGUAACUUGCCAAAGAGCAUAUUUAAUUCCUUCAUUGUCCAUGGUAUUAACUUAAAUCUCUGUAACCCUCAAAAGAAAAAAAAAACUUAAAUCUCUGUUCUCUGUAACACUUGCUGAACAUUGGACAAAUGUCUUGUUGUCGACUAUGGUCUCUUUUCACCAAGUGCUGCUUUUUUCUGCAAAUGAUCUCUUGCAUGCAAAUGGUCACUGUUAGAUGAUAAAUCCUGAUGUAUCGGUGCUUUAUUGGGGCCUAAAACAACGUGAAUUCUUUAUCUGUGAUGUUACGUGAUGCCAACAUGGCAACCUAAGUGCUUCUUGUGAUUGUCUUACAAUAAUCAGUGUCACCCUUCUAGUGGAUUUAGCCAUGAAGUGCUGAUUUAGCUGUAGUUUUUAUACAUUGGUUAUUUCAUCCCUUGGGUUCUUGUAUGUGUGGAACUCCAGGACUUGUCGAUGAGCAUCUAGCAGCAGUUCUCCCCCAUGUGAUGGCAGUGAGUUCACCUUGCCGCAACCACCUCUCCUUCGUCUGUGAUUCAGGAGGACUGGAUAGAAGGAGGAGGUAUAGAAAUCUCAGUCAAAGGGCCCUGCUUAUUUUCCAUUCAGCUUUUGUUGAGUGGCAGCCAAUGCUGGUCUCGUCUUGAAGAGACACUCAAGUAUCUUAACUUUGGAGUAUAUUGUGUGCGUUCACUUAAUCAGUGUAGGUCCAUGACAAGGAGAUUGGCUGAAUCCUCCUUCCUUAUUCUGAAUGUUAGCUCGUUCAAUGAUUGAAUAUAUAACUUGUAUUGGUUGUAUGGGGUUCUGUAUCAAAACUAGAAGUCCCAUCCUUGCUUGAUUACCUGGAAUAUACAAAGUGUUUAUUUUGUUAUAGUAACUAUUGCUCUCUCA